rnacentral:lncRNA from 14 species
AGAAAGUCUAUAACUGGAACAGCCUCCAGUCCUAAUGGUGAUCUAUCUGAGUGGGAAGGUGAGAUUCUAGAGAGCAGGCCUUGAUGCCUUGACAUACUGUGUAGGAGAGGCCCUGAGUGUGCAUAUGUGUCCCUUAUCAGAGCUUGGAACAGACUCCUGGUCACUCAUUUUGCUCAGUAAAUGGCUAUUCUUCUUGCCAGGAGAAGUGAUAAUUCCAUGUCUGAACAGAUUUAGUUUCUGAAUU